rnacentral:rRNA from 1 species
UUCCAGACUCCUACGGGAGGCAGCAGUGGGGGAUAUUGCACAAUGGGGGGAACCCUGAUGCAGCGACGCCGCGUGGGUGAAGAAGUAUUUCGGUAUGUAAAGCCCUAUCGGCAGGGAAGAAAUUGGACGGUACCUGACUAAGAAGCCCCGGCUAACUACGUGCCAGCAGCCGCGGUAAUACGUAGGGGGCAAGCGUUAUCCGGAUUCACUGGGUGUAAAGGGAGCGUAGACGGCCAUGCAAGCCUGGAGUGAAAGCCCGGGGCCCAACCCCGGGACUGCUCUGGGAACUGUGCGGCUGGAGUGCGGGAGGGGCAGGCGGAAUUCCUGGUGUAGCGGUGAAAUGCGUAGAUAUCAGGAGGAACACCGGCGGCGAAGGCGGCCUGCUGGACCGCGACUGACGUUGAGGCUCGAAAGCGUGGGGAGCAAACAGGAUUAGAUACCCCGGUA